CUCCCCAGAAAAUCGCAGCUGCCGGCCUCUUCCUUCGUCGCUCGACUCGGCCAAUGCGAUGAGGACGGACGGAUCCUUCUGUCCUCUCACCCACGACCUCUCGCUUUCCCGCCGUCGACCCUACGUCGUCUCUGCCCGCCAUCCCCUUUCCCCGUCGUGUGACUUCCGCGGCAGACAGGGAAGUCGGCAACCACCGAGGCUCAUGGCCCUCCUACACUUGCCGGAGCCAUCAGCUGGAACCAAGGAAGGUGACGGCCAUGGGCAGGGGUUUCUAGCUCCUCCUUGAUCAGUUCAUCCCGCAGUCACCAUCGUCUUCCAGGCGACCAUGCCAGAUUCGCGUCAUCAUCAUCAUCGCAGGCAGGCGGUGGUGGCUGCGGUGAGGGCACGUGCGGCAGGGAGGGCCAUAACCCUGACUUCAGUACGUGAUGUUACAGGUUGUUGCAGGGAAUAUAUACAGUUUUUGCAAGAGAAAAAAAUGGCUUGUGUUCGGGUGAGGCCCAGAUACAACAUCCCACAUUUUCUUUUCGAAAUCAUCUCUACUUAACUACAAGGUUGUGGUUGCAACUUGGAUGCAGAGGAAUAGUAGUUUGGCUGCUGAGGUAUCAAGGUAAGGAAAAAGAAAUAUUGCCCCAUUGUUUAUCAUUUUGUCUGGUUAGGAUCAUAGUGUAUUUUAAGCCCAUAUCUAUAGCUCUGAAUUAUAUAUUCACACGUACGAAGAAAAAGUAAGAUUAAGUUUGUUUCAUCCUUUGGGUGUAUAUACUGAAGUUCCUGAGUGACAAAGGCUCUUUGAGAAAUAGUAAUAUCAAGUCUGUUUUUAUCACAUAAUGCAGGAUUAUUAAACGCAAACAAAUCCAAGCGGUAUUUGUCAUUUGCUGUAAAGCCCUUGAAAAUGCCUCCAGUAGAAAUGUCAAAGGCUCUUUGAGAAACUUGUACAUUUAUCUCUUCUUUACUUGCCUUUAAUGACAAACAUGAUAGUACCCAAAUUAAUUUCAGGAAGGUACUCCUGUAAGAGGAAACUUUUGAGAUGUAUCAAGCAAUAAAAAUCUUCUCAUGUCAUUUCAAUUUAAUCUAUAAUGCAGAGAUAAAAAACAGUUUUUCCAUUCACCACAUGGAGAUCGCAUUAACUAAGCGUUGUGAGGCAAGCCAUGAUGUUCUUCAAAAUAUGUGGACAAUAAGGUUGCUGAGUGAGCAAUUCUUUUUGCUUCUAUGGUGUUCUCAGGGAGGGAUAUUUCGUGGCCUUGAUGAUAUAUGCAAAACAAAUUUUGUAGGAUUUUUAGCACCCUUUGGAGAGAAAGACAGUAAAUGAGGAAUGAUGUUUAAAUACUAUUGAGUUUUUCUUUUAUUUUCUUCUUGGUUCAGUUUGGAACCAACCUUCUAUGUAGCUGAAAUUUUAUGUAUCAUAUUAGGUCAGUGUUUGCAUUGUGAAAGAUUGUCUUAUGUUAUUUGAACCUUGCCAUAUCGAGAGUACUUUUUAUUUUCAUGUUGUUUGUAAAAACUGCCUCUUUUGAUGCAAUCAGUAGAGCCACAAAACUGUUAUUCACUGCUUAGGCAUAUGAACAUGGACAUGUGGAUGAAUUGUGAAAUGAUGCUGGCUAGCUUGUUACAUAUAGGCAUUGCAUGGCAUGCAUAGUCCUAAUUUAUAUUCUGCAUCAACUUGACAGUUUUGUAAGUUCCGUUCAUAUUAUUUGCAUGACAUAUAAGUAUCUAUUUAUUUAGCUCCUUAAAGAUUGUAAAGUGCAGGUGCACAAUCAAAGGCUUCAUUGUUCUUGCCCGCAAAAAAAAGGCUUCACUUUUUUGUUUAAAAAAGGCUUGUUUGGUCAUAGUUCGUUGGGAAAGGUAAGGUUAUGGAAAUAUUGUCUCUUUCGACAAAACUCGCACCGAUAGGGUGGUCACAGAUUAUUAAUAAUUUAAUAACAUACACAAAGUUUGUUGUCUUUACAAUGAAUCAAACAGAACACGUUGAAGUCUCAAAGAAAACAUAAUAUGUAAAUUUAGAUGGUGAGGUUAUGAUUUGAUAUUCUUACCUUAUGUACUAUUUUGUUCAUAAAAUGUUUUACACUCGCAUGUUCGGUCGGAAAGGCCUUGGGCUGCUAGCAGUUAAAUUUUGGAGUAGUUUUUUGUAUUGAUCUGCAAUACCCUAAUGAUAAGAAAUGAUUUUUUUAUCGUAUGACUCUUAUAUAUUCAUAUAUUCCUUCAAUUUUGCAGAAACUCGAGCAAAUUGUGAACCUGUAUGUAUCAAAGAAUUUUCUGAAUUAUGUUUGCGCAUAUGGCAAUAUGAAAAGGUAGGGCCAUAAUGAUGGUACGCAUAGUGGGAGUGGAAGAGAAGCAUGUGUCGUCGCCAAAGUCACAGUGGUUGUGAUCAUCCACGUCCAACCCAACAAAGAUUGACAUGUAGCAGGGUUCAUCUGGCUUGCAUUACAUGUCGGGCACAGGUUAGUCGCGUGCUCCAAAAAAUUGCGCCGAAGGGCCGAGAUGACCAUGACCUACUCGCCGAUGGCACCGACGCAAGCCAUAGGAUCAUCUGUUGUCAUGAGAGCAGGAGCGGCCGAACCCGCCUCAGUUGGGAGUAGCCAACACCCAACCUUAUUAAUACUGAUAAUCUUGAGGCACAACGAACCAAAGUAAAAGAGCCGGCUGAUGAUGAUCAUUCUAGAGAAA